rnacentral:misc_RNA from 1 species
GCCAGAUUGUGCAAGGGCAAAGACAAUAUCACGUGCAGCAACUAUCUCAAUUAUCUUUGAUCUUUUCUUAAGAAAAGGAAGCACCAUGGCACAAUGCCCCUUAGGGUCAUGGGUGUCAUAUUCCUCCUGCAAUCGAAUAUUUCGAAAGCGCUCCUGAGCAUCGCUCAUACUGAAAGAACGGUCACGCUUUGAACAAAUCUCCCUCCGCUGUAACUUCUUGACGCUAUUCACAAACCCAUCAACCCCUCCACGAGAACGCUUCUUAGCCACCACCCUCCUACCACAACACGGACGAGGACUAGCAGAUAUUCUCCGCCCAUCCAUCUCAAAAUCGAACACAACACUAAGGAACAAAUUCUACAAAUCUUAACCCUAAUACAACUAAUUGCACAUCAUAUACACAACAUAACAGCUUCAAUGCACACUUUCUAUAGAGUUCUAAUGGAAGAUGUGGCUUUCAAUUAAAACCCUAAAUCUCAACGACCCAGAUGGAAAAUUUAGGGCUUUUCCACCCCCAACAAACAGGCCUACUCAAGAAUAGUUUCUCGUAUAGUUUCUUGAAUAAAACCGCUACAAAAACAAAGUAUAAUCUUCACUGGUAUUACAAAAAGUAGUGUUGGGAUUUGGCAAGAGGAGCCGGAGAUGA